rnacentral:rRNA from 1 species
AUGGCGGCUGCACGGGCGCACGUGGAGAGGCUUCGGCGGGAGCGGUACUACAUCGGGCGCGGCGAGCAGAACCCGCUGGCGGAGGACAUGCACCAGGCGGUGAACUACCUGAGCCAGGAGCUCUACUCCAAGGACGUCCACUUCCUCAUGGAGCUCGUCCAGAACGCUGAAGACAAUGAGUACCCUGAUGUAGUAGCACCUUCAUUGGAGUUUCUAGUAACAUCAACUGACAUCACUGGAUCUGGUGCAUCGUCAACUUUACUCAUUUUCAACAACGAGAAGGGCUUCUCUCCAUCGAAUAUUCAGUCUAUUUGUGGCGUGGGCAAAUCAACGAAAAAAGGAAACAGGGACAAGGGUUACAUUGGAGAGAAAGGUAUUGGAUUCAAAAGUGUGUUCCUGAUAUCAAGCCAGCCCCAUAUAUUCAGUAAUGGGUAUCAAAUCAAGUUUAAUGAGAAGCCGUGUCCAGAAUGCAAUAUUGGAUACAUUGUCCCAGAGUAG